UACGUAGGGUGCAAGCGUUGUCCGGAAUUAUUGGGCGUAAGAGCUCGUAGGCGGUCUGUCGCGUCGGCUGUGAAAACCCGGGGCUCAACCCCGGGCCUGCAGUCGAUACGGGCAGACUAGAGUGCGGUAGGGGAGACUGGAAUUCCUGGUGUAGCGGUGAAAUGCGCAGAUAUCAGGAGGAACACCGGUGGCGAAGGCGGGUCUCUGGGCCGAAACUGACGCUGAGGAGCGAAAGCGUGGGGAGCAAACAGG
rnacentral:rRNA from 1 species